rnacentral:lncRNA from 1 species
ACAACAACAAAGAUGAAAAACCACACGAACUAGAAUAUAAAACCGAGGAGGAAUCACAACCAAGCAGAAGAUGAUCGGCCAGCCUUUCCUUUUCCCUUCCCAAAUGAACAAAAUGCACCCCAUUCAAUUUUCCCAUCAUUGAAUCAAUUCUCCACCAUUGCGGUGGCCUUCCAAGAUGCUUUGUGACCAAUAGGUGCCAAUUAAUUAAUUAUUUUUGUGUUUGUAUGAACAUGAGAAUUGGAAGAGAAAAAGUGCGCAAGCAACAGGAAAGAAUGCACGCUAACAUCAAAGGUUAGGCGAUUCAAUUGAC